rnacentral:rRNA from 1 species
GCGAUCAUACCAAGACUAAUGCACCGGAUCCCAUCAGAACUCCGUUAAGCGUGCUUGGGCGAGAGCAAUACUAGGAUGGGUGACCCCGGGAAGUCCUCGUGUUGCACCU